rnacentral:rRNA from 1 species
AAACAUAGCUCUGAGAAUUUGUUCAGAGUGGGGCCUGCCCAGUGAUAAAAUUAAAUGGCCGCGGUACCUUGACCGUGCUAAGGUAGCAUAAUCAGUUGACUUUUAAAUGAAGUCUGGAAUGAAGGGAGUAACGGAAUUAAGCUGUUUCCUCACCUUUUACUAAAAGUUACUAACUAGGUGAAAAAGCCUAGGAAAGAAAAAAGACGACAAGACCCUGGGAAUUUAAAAUUGUUUUGUUGGGGCGACAAGAAGUCAGAUUAAACACUUCUAUAAAACUAUAGGACGGUACUUUCAUGUGUAGAAAAAUUACCCCAGGGAUAACAGCAUAAUCUUUUAUGGUUUGUGACCUCGAUGUUGGACUAGGGAACUCUAAGGCUAGCUGCUUUAUAGGUAAAUUCUGUUCGAAUUAGUACCCCUACGUGAUCU